ensembl:lncRNA
AGUCUUGUGUCCUGUCAUCCCUUCUCCGAACAGGAGGCUGGGUUAUUGGGAAGAGUCUACAGGAUCAUAUGGUGGACAGACCUGUAAAACUGUAUGAGUGUUGGUGAGCAGUCUUUUUUUUGUCAGGAACUUGAUAAAUGAAUGUGGACAAUGUGGAACAUCUAGUGGACAGAGAAAAGGGGUGUGGACUCAAGUGACCUCCAUUCCUUUGGUUUCUUCACCUGACGAGUGCAUCAGAGACGAUGUGAGUUGGUUCUGGGAACUGCUUAGAGAUGGCACAGUCUAAUCCUCUAGCUUCUCAUGAGUCCUGGUGGAAGCAACCUGACCCGGGCUGCACACAGCACAUCACCAACUCAGAUCCAACACUGCUCCCUCGGCACCCUCGGUUCAGCCCCAGCUCAGGACGUGUCUCUUUCUGCCAGGUACCUCACUUAAAACAGCUAAACCUGUGUCAACUAAGAGUCCAGUCCUGCACUCUGAGAACUCAUGAAGUGAUGCAAAUACACAGAUGCUCAAGUCAGAAGAGAUUCCUGUCUCAUUGUCAUCAUCUGAGCCUUGUGGCCCAGUGGACAAUGAAGAUGAGGAAACAGGAUCAGAGGUGAAGUGACUUACCUGAGUGAUAAGUGGCAGAGCUGAUUUUGAAGCCAAGUUUGUCCACGAUCCGUCUGUGCUUUUAGUUCUUAACCCUAGUGGAUCAGAAUCUCCUGGGAAGUUGGUGAAAACGUUGAUGGCUGGGCCCCAGCCCAGAAUUUCUGAUUCAGUCAGUAUGCUGUGUGGGCAGGGCAAUUUGCAUUCCUAACAAGUGCCCAGAUGAUGCUAAUGCAGCUGGUCCAGGGACCACACUUUGAAAACUACUCAUUAAAUCUCAGAGGGCAUGAAGAUUCCAAGAGUAAAAGAGAGAAGUCUGAGAAAACACUGCCAGAUCCCUCUGGCUUAUGAAAGGAAAGAAAGCAUCAGUUUCCCAGGACUGGAUCAAGAGUUUCUAUGUCAUUCCUGCGUCUGUUAGAGCCCCAACCCCAUUCCAGAACUCCUUUCAAAGAAUCAGUGAACAGUUAUUAGUUGAACUGAGGGAUUAACUGACCAGUCAUGAUGGACCUCUGUAGGGACUUAUUCAUCUGAAAAGAAUGCUUGACAUUUAUUCUGAAAGACGUCUUUCUAUAGACCCUCAAUCCUUGUAGAACCAAAUGACACUUGCCCCUAUAUAUAUUUCAAUGAAUUUCAAAUAUUUUCUAAUUUAUUCUUAGACAUGUGUAUCAGAGGGAUAUCAUUCAUCAAAUUUUGCAGGCCUUUGAAUAAGGGCCAUUGCAAAAUAAUAGGGAGGGGAAAAAAAUCAACACAGAACUGUUCAUCAUGUUAUUCAAAAAAAGCAAACUUAAACCGGGUUUGGCAAAACAUCCAAGCUUUAAACAACAUUUCAGAGUUGACCCUAGUGUCCAAAGGGGUUAAAUUUCUUUAAUUUCCCAAGUCUUUGGACCCCAAGACCCUCAUUCAGCUGCACUUGUCCCUAAAGUGCAAUAAGAAAAAAAGCUAAUUUUAUUCAUUAACUUGAUCUUUAUCAGUAGAAUCACAAGGAAUGCUCAGCCCCGGUGGCCCACUGGAGUCACUUGGGGAGCUUCUAAACAUCUCUUUGCUCCUGGACACCUCCCAGACCAAGCACAUCAGAUCUCUAAUGAAGCUUGUGAAUCCUAAAUAUCUCCCUUAAAGUGAGUCCCCUUGCUUUAGAAUAUGGAGACAGCUACUGCCCAGCGCUCUGACUGAAGGGUGAUGAAUUGGGAGAGAACUCUUACUUGUUGAAGAUCUUCUGAUGCCAGCCUUGUCCCAGCCACUUAACAGCCCUACAAGACAGGUAUUACUGUGUCCACUUUGUAGAGGACACAGCUGCCAGUCAGGAAGGUGAAGUGACUUGUUCAAGGUGGCAAAGUGGGAAUGUGGAGGCAGGCUUCACUCUUUCCUCCUCAGGAGAGAGGAGAGAGAUGAGAGUCCCUCUGACAUCCUCUGCCUGCUCCCUCCUGUGUAAGGCAACGCCUCUCUGUCCUUCCACCUGGACCCCUGUGCCCAGCUUGGAAACAGUUCAUGACCUGCUCCACUUCUAGGCCUCUGUAGCUAAAGGUCUAGGUCAGGACUCCUCUCCCAUCCCCACGCCCCCACGACUCGCUGUGAGAUAGAUGGUAGGUGACACGGGCCCUGCAGGCUUCUCCCUG